AUUGAACGCUGGCGGCAUGCCUUACACAUGCAAGUCGAACGGCAGCGCGGACUUCGGUCUGGCGGCGAGUGGCGAACGGGUGAGUAAUGUAUCGGAACGUACCAUUCAGUGGGGGAUAACGCAGUGAAAGUUGCGCUAAUACCGCAUAUUCUGUGCGCAGGAAAGCAGGGGAUCGCAAGACCUUGCGCUGAUUGAGCGGCCGAUAUCAGAUUAGCUAGUUGGUGAGGUAAAGGCUCACCAAAGCGACGAUCUGUAGCGGGUCUGAGAGGAUGAUCCGCCACACUGGAACUGAGACACGGUCCAGACUCCUACGGGAGGCAGCAGUGGGGAAUUUUGGACAAUGGGCGCAAGCCUGAUCCAGCCAUGUCGCGUGAGUGAAGAAGGCCUUCGGGUUGUAAAGCUCUUUCGGCCGGGAAGAAAUCGUAUGGGUUAAUACCCUGUGCGGAUGACGGUACCGGCAUAAGAAGCACCGGCUAACUACGUGCCAGCCGCCGCCGUAACAC
rnacentral:rRNA from 1 species